rnacentral:rRNA from 1 species
UACACUUAGUGGCGGACGGGUGAGUAACGCGUGGGUACCUGCCUCACACUGGGGGAUAACAGUUAGAAAUAGCUGCUAAUACCGCAUAAGUCCGCAUGGAAAAAACUCCGGUGGUGUGAGAUGGACCCGCGUCUGAUUAGCCAGUUGGCGGGGUAACGGCCCACCAAAGCGACGAUCAGUAGCCGGUCUGAGAGGAUGUCCGGCCACACUGGAACUGAGACACGGUCCAGACACCUACGGGUGGCAGCAGUCGAGAAUCAUUCACAAUGGGGGAAACCCUGAUGGUGCGACGCCGCGUGGGGGAAGAAGGUCUUCGGAUUGUAAACCCCUGUCAUGUGGGACAUUAAAAGAUAGUACCACAAGAGGAAGAGACGGCUAACUCUGUGCCAGCAGCCGCGGUAAUACAGAGGCCUCAAGCGUUGUUCGGAAUCACUGGGCGUAAAGCGUGCGUAGGCGGUUUCGUAAGUCGUGUGUGAAAGGCGGGGGCUCAACCCCCGGACUGCACAUGAUACUGCGAGACUAGAGU